rnacentral:rRNA from 1 species
AGCGAACGCUGGCGGCAGGCUUAACACAUGCAAGUCGAGCGGGCGUAGCAAUACGUCAGCGGCAGACGGGUGAGUAACGCGUGGGAACGUGCCCUUUGGUUCGGAACAACACAGGGAAACUUGUGCUAAUACCGGAUAAGCCCUUACGGGGAAAGAUUUAUCGCCAAAGGAUCGGCCCGCGUCUGAUUAGCUUGUUGGUGAGGUAACGGCUCACCAAGGCUACGAUCAGUAGCUGGUCUGAGAGGAUGAUCAGCCACACUGGGACUGAGACACGGCCCAGACUCCUACGGGAGGCAG